GACGAACGCUGGCGGCGUGCUUAACACAUGCAAGUCGAACGGUGAAGGGACCAGCUUGCUGGUGCUGGAUGAGUGGCGAACGGGUGAGUAACACGUGAGUAACCUGCCCCCUUCUUCUGGAUAACCGCAUGAAAGUGUGGCUAAUACGGGAUAUUCUGGGUCUGUCGCAUGGCGGGCCCGGGAAAGAUAUUGCUUCGGUGGGGGAUGGGCUCGCGGCCUAUCAGCUUGUUGGUGGGGUGAUGGCCUUCCAAGGCGGGGACGGGUAGCCGGCCUGGGAGGGGGGAAGGUCACAAUGGGACUGAGACACGGCCCAGACUCCUACGGGAGGCAGCAGUGGGGAAGAUUGCACAAUGGGCGCAAGCCUGAUGCAGCGACGCCGCGUGAGGGAUGGAGGCCUUCGGGUUGUAAACCUCUUUCGCCAGUGAAGCAGGCCUGCUCCUUGUGGGUGGGUUGACGGUAGCUGGAUAAGAAGCGCCGGCUAACUACGUG
rnacentral:rRNA from 1 species